rnacentral:tRNA from 1 species
GAAGGUAUAGCUCAAGUGGUAGAGUGCAUGCUUAGCAGGCAUGAGGUCCUGGGUUCAACCCCCAGUACCUCCA